ACUGACACUGCUGAUGCCUCACCAUUCUAGCCUCGGCCUUUUCCCUUCACCUUGUGAGAUUUGGGGCCAGGUUCUCACAACAUGAAUGGCGGCGCUAGAUAGUAAGGCAUCGGGGAAGAUGGGAAUGCGAGCUGUAGUCUAUUAUAUGACUACCACCAUCAUUGCUGUGGUGAUUGGCAUAAUCAUUGUCAUCAUCAUCCAUCCUGGGAAGGGCACAAAGGAAAACAUGCACAGAGAAGGCAAAAUUGUACAAGUGACAGCUGCAGAUGCCUUCCUGGACUUGAUCAGGAACAUGUUCCCUCCAAAUCUGGUAGAAGCCUGCUUUAAACAGUUUAAAACCAACUAUGAGAAGAGAAGCUUUAAAGUGCCCAUCCAGGCCAACGAAACGCUUGUGGGUGCUGUGAUAAACAAUGUGUCUGAGGCCAUGGAGACUCUCACCCGAAUCACAGAGGAGCUGGUCCCAGUUCCAGGAUCUGUGAAUGGAGUCAAUGCCCUGGGUCUAGUUGUCUUCUCUAUGUGCUUCGGUUUUGUGAUUGGAAACAUGAAGGAACAGGGGCAGGCCCUGAG
rnacentral:sRNA from 1 species